GUUCUAGAGCGAACGAUGCCAUUCCUAUUCGUCUAUUCAUAAUGGAGUUAUUUCCCAUUGCAGUUCUCAUUCCAUUAACCAUGGCAGGCUGCCCAAGCCCGCUCCCCAUUGAUCCAUAUCCACCUCCUCCCAUCCCUGAGCCACCGUUUGUUGCUCCGUUUCCGCCCAUGCAAUUCCCAUUGUUGAGACCUGUACUACUUGUAGGUAAGACCCCAUUCACGUUUUUCA
rnacentral:misc_RNA from 1 species